GGAUGUAAGGGCAUGGCUGUGACGUGUGUCACCCCACUGAUGUCAGGCUUGAUUCGGCCGAGCUGGCUGGCUAGGCGGGUGUCCCCUUCCUCCCUUACCGCUCCAUGUGCGUCUCUCCCAAAGCUGUGUGCUCUGUCAAAGAGAACGACCUUCCCUGAACAAAGGAGGACUAGUCUCUGGUCAAGGGUAUAUGAGUAGCUGUGCUCCCUUUCUAGAACCUCCAAACAAGCUCUCAAAAUGAGCCUGGAGUAACUUAUACUACCAGGAAGUAAAGGAAUGCUCAAAAAGCAGGGGGCAGGGGCGAGGCCAUAGCUC
rnacentral:snRNA from 1 species